rnacentral:rRNA from 1 species
AACGAACGCUGGCGGCAGGCUUAACACAUGCAAGUCGAACGGUUGUAGCAAUACAGCAGUGGCAGACGGGUGAGUAACACGUGGGAACCUUCCUAGGGGUACGGAACAACUCAGGGAAACUUGAGCUAAUACCGUAUACGUCCGUGAGGAGAAAGAUUUAUCGCCCUUAGACGGGCCCGCGUCGGAUUAGCUAGUUGGUGGGGUAAUGGCCUACCAAGGCGACGAUCCGUAGCUGAUCUUAGAGGAUGAUCAGCCACACUGGGACUGAGACACGGCCCAGACUCCUACGGGAGGCAGCAGUGGGGAAUCUUGGACAAUGGGCGCAAGCCUGAUCCAGCCAUGCCGCGUGAGUGAAGAAGGUCUUCGGAUUGUAAAGCUCUUUUGCCAGGGACGAUAAUGACGGUACCUGGAGAAUAAGCCCCGGCAAACUUCGUGCCAGCCGCCGCGGUAAUAC